rnacentral:rRNA from 1 species
AUUGAACGCUGGCGGCAGGCCUAACACAUGCAAGUCGAACGGUAACAGGAAGAAGCUUGCUUCUUUGCUGACGAGUGGCGGACGGGUGAGUAAUGUCUGUGAAACUGCCUGAUGGAGGGGGAUAACUACUGGAAACGGUAGCUAAUACCGCAUAACGUCGCAAGACCAAAGAGGGGGACCUUCGGGCCUCUUGCCAUCGGAUGUGCCCAGAUGGGAUUAGCUAGUAGGUGGGGUAACGGCUCACCUAGGCGACGAUCCCUAGCUGGUCUGAGAGGAUGACCAGCCACACUGGAACUGAGACACGGUCCAGACUCCUACGGGAGGCAGCAGUGGGGAAUAUUGCACAAUGGGCGCAAGCCUGAUGCAGCCAUGCCGCGUGUAUGAAGAAGGCCUUCGGGUUGUAAAGUACUUUCAGCGGGGAGGAAGGGAGUAAAGUUAAUACCUUUGCUCAUUGACGUUACCCGCAGAAGAAGCACCGGCUAACUCCGUG